AAAAUCUUAAUUGUAGUGUGUGUCUUGUUAGUUUUCAAUUAUUACAUCACAGCUCCAAUUUACCUCUCAAUACUUGCUGUAGGAUAAUGCAUUUCCUUUCAACACCCCGCCUUCUCCACAAGCAGGGUGUGGUGUGAAGCUUCUAGUAGAGGCUUUUGCGGAAUGCUGCAGAGGGAAAGGCCUGUGCUGUGGACGCUAACUUCUGCAUGGGGAAGGGGAGAAGGGCGUGAGGACACGGGAUGCUGCACCCCAACAUUCACCGUGCUCCUGACCUGGGUAUUACCCCAGGCCUCCUGCCUGUGCAAGCACCCUGACUCCUCUCCUCCCUGAGCCGUGUCUUGCCCCAGGUUGUAUUCCAAGGUCUUCCGGACACUGUGGCCUUCAAAACAGGGACACUGUGCUCUCCAGUGCUUCUGAGCCACCUCUUCUCCCAGUCUCUGGGUGCCCGCGUGCUCUCCAACCAGCAACGGCUGCCCUGACCGUACCUGCACCGGAGCUCUGCCAGCGCCCGCCCCCGAGGCCCUCCAUGCCCCCACACACUCACCACCCAGCUAACCACAGCUACACCCCGAGGACUACUUUCCACUUGCCUGUGCUCUCUGCACACUAGUAAACCUUUCUGUCAUCCAGUGGGUUACGCUGACAUUUUUUCCAAAAUCUGACCCUAAGCUUAGGGGAGAGGAGUCUCUUUCCAAGUCCGUCCUCCUGUAGGAACUUUGCUCCACCUGCAGUGUACAAGGGAUGUCAAACUUUCGUAUAUUUUAUACUUACUUUUAAAGUCAUGAUUUAGUCGCCUUUGCAUCUAAGCAUCCCCUGGUUAAAUCACUGAGUAGGCUUCCUCAUGGUCAGAACCAGGCUACUGCAUGUAAUAACCUCCAGUUUGGGGUGUGGAAGUCUUGGCACUUUCUUAGCAGGGCCUGGAACUGCUGCUGUGUUUGAGUGCAAGCGUCCUACUCCCACAUCCAAAGUGUCAUCACUGGAAGAGGGGCAUGGAACGAGGAAUAAAAGGCAAGCGGGUCCUGGCCCUUGCACUGCAGUUGAGGGAAUCUGAGGGCAGCAUGCAGGCACCAGCACCGAGGGAAGCUUUGGGCCUAGGCCGCAGUUUAUAAAUGACAGAGGGUGAAGUCUUUCUAAAGCACGUUACCUGUACACCUGUAUACACACUGAGAGAAAAUGUGUGAAAGCCUUACUGAGAUACACCGGCUGAACAUUUCCCUGAUCUUCAUGAAGAAAAUGGAAGACCUGGAGAAGUUCUGAAGAUGAGAGGAAUGGAG
rnacentral:lncRNA from 1 species